GGUGAAAGCAGGGGACCUUCGGGCCUUGCGCGAUUGAAUGAGCCGAUGUCGGAUUAGCUAGUAGGUGGGGUAACGGCUCACCAAGGCGACGAUCCCUAGCUGGUCUGAGAGGAUGACCAGCCACACUGGAACUGAGACACGGUCCAGACUCCUACGGGAGGCAGCAGUGGGGAAUAUUGGACAAUGGGCGCAAGCCUGAUCCAGCCAUGCCGCGUGGGUGAAGAAGGCCUUCGGGUUGUAAAGCCCUUUUGUUGGGAAAGAAAUCCAGCUGGCUAAUACCCGGUUGGGAUGACGGUACCCAAAGAAUAAGCACCGGCUAACUUCGUGCCAGCAGCCGCGGUAAUACGAAGGGGGCUAGCGUUGUUCGGAAUUACUGGGCGUAAAGCGCGCGUAGGCGGAUUGGAAAGUUGGGGGUGAAAUCCCGGGGCUCAACCCCGGAACUGCCUCCAAAACUAUCAGUCUAGAGUUCGAGAGAGGUGAGUGGAAUUCCAAGUGUAGAGGUGAAAUGCGUAGAUAUCGGGAGGAACACCAGUGGCGAAGGCGGCUCUCUGGACCGAUACUGACGCUGAGGUGCGAAAGCGUGGGGAGCAAACAGGAUUAGAUACCCACGUAGUCC
rnacentral:rRNA from 1 species